UACGAAGGGGGCUAGCGUUGUUCGGAAUUACUGGGCGUAAAGGGUUUGUAGGCGGUUGAACAAGUCAGAUGUGAAAUCCCAAGGCUUAACCUUGGAAUUGCAUUUGAAACUGUUCAGCUAGAGAAUGUUAGAGGAAAGUGGAAUUCCUAGUGUAGGAGUGAAAUCCGUAGAGAUUAGGAGGAAUAUCGAUGGCGAAGGCAGCUUUCUGGGACAUUUCUGACGCUGAGAAACGAAAGCGUGGGUAGCAAACAGG
rnacentral:rRNA from 1 species